CUUCCCUCUGCGCCUCCCCGGUCACCGCGGCGGAGGCUGAACUUCCUGGGUCACCGGCGGCUCCUCCAUCCGGGAGCCCGGGCGGAGCAGCCGCGGGGCCGGCGGCGGCAGCGGCGGCGCUUCCCCGAGCAGCCCGGCGCGGGGGAGCCCCGGCCCCGGCCGGCCCUGCCGCCCCCCCCCGCCCGCAGGUACCGGUGUGCCGGGGGUCCCUCUGCGGAGCUGGGGAGGGGUUGCUGAGCCGGCGGGUGCCCCCGCUCGGGCCCCGCUGGGCGGGGGGGCCACGGAGGGAAGAUGCUCGGGCACCCGCAUCCCCAGCCGAGGGCGGCGGGGCCCUGCCAGCGGCCCCCUGUGUCUGCCUAAGAAGCCACCCAGGGGCUGCCGGGCUUCGAAGCGGCAGCGGCCGGUGGGUGCCGGCGGCGUCGGCGUCAUGCAGGAGAGCUACGAGUCCCUGAUCCUGCUGGACUUCCCGAUUCCCAAGCCUAACGUCAUCUCCCGGCUGGAGCUGGAGGAAGAGCUGGGGGUGCCGGACCCGAACGACUCCAAGGAAUGGGAGAUCCUCAGGGUGGCCCCCGCAGGUGAGCCGGGAACCCACCCCGAAUGGGCCGGAGGUUUUAGCGACAGCCCUGUGGCAGCCCCCACUCCUCCAUCUCAGGGAGCGUCCCAAGCUUGCAGGUAUCCAGGGCUCUGCGUGUAGCUGCCGGGCUGGGGUCGGGAAGAGCUUUCUUGCCCUCUGUUCUGGGAUCGGCCUUUGGCAGCUGUCCACCCGAAUUCUUCAGGCUUCCCCUAUUUCCCCUUGGUGCUGGGAAUCACUCCUGUCGGCGUU
rnacentral:lncRNA from 1 species